rnacentral:rRNA from 1 species
ACAUCCAGAGAACUUAGCAGAGAUGCUUUGGUGCCUUCGGGAACUCUGAGACAGGUGCUGCAUGGCUGUCGUCAGCUCGUGUUGUGAAAUGUUGGGUUAAGUCCCGNAACGAGCGCAACCCUUUAUCCUUUGUUGCCAGCGGUUCGGCCGGGAACUCAAAGGAGACUGCCGGUGAUAAACCGGAGGAAGGUGGGGAUGACGUCAAGUCAUCAUGGCCCUUACGGCCAGGGCUACACACGUGCUACAAUGGCGCAUACAAAGAGAAGCGACCUCGCGAGAGCAAGCGGACCUCAUAAAGUGCGUCGUAGUCCGGAUUGGAGUCUGCAACUCGACUCCAUGAAGUCGGAAUCGCUAGUAAUCGUAGAUCAGAAUGCUACGGUGAAUACGUUCCCGGGCCUUGUACACACCGCCCGUCACACCAUGGGAGUGGGUUGCAAAAGAAGUAGGUAGCUUAACCUUCGGGAGGGCGCUUACCACUUUGUGAUUCAUGACUGGGGUGAAGUCGUAACAAGGUAAGCGUAGCGAG